rnacentral:misc_RNA from 1 species
AAAGUCGUAACAAGGUAACCGUAGGUGAACCUGCGGUUGGAUCAUUAAAAAAACUACUGGUGAACCCGGUGCCCCAACGGGCCCCGCGGAUACUACCAUACAUGGGGGAACAGACGGACCACCAAUUGCCUACUCAAAGGGAGCCGAAAGGCUCCUUUGGCAGGGGGUCUGUUCUUCCUCACUGUAAAAAACCUUUUGUGAACCGACUCGUCUCUGGCGUGGUGGGCAGUGAUAAACUGCUUGUCAGCAUCUCUCGAGGUGCCGUGGACAACCCGCCAACCCCUUUUUAACAUUUGUAUUAACAUCUCGUCUAACAUUACUUGUAUCAAUAUACAAAACAACUUUUGGCAACGGAUCUCUUGGCUCUC